AGUUCGGUCUGGCUCAGAUUGAACGCUGGCGGGAUGCUUUACACAUGCAAGUCGAACGGCAGCCACGGACUUCGGUCUGGUGGCGAGUGGCCGAACGGGUGAGUAAUGUAUCCGGAACGUGCCUAGUAGCGGGGAUAACUACGCGAAGCGUAGCUAAUACCGCAUACGCCCUUCGGGGGAAAGCAGGGGACCUUCGGGCCUCGCACUAUUAAGCCCGGCCGAUAUCGGAUUAGCCCGUUGGUGGGGUAACGACUCCGCAAGGCGACGAUCCGUAGCUGGUUUGAGAGGACGACCAACCACGCUGGGACUGGUUGGCGGAACUCUGCAGGAGGCAGCAGUGGGGAAUUUUGGACAAUGGGGAAACCUGAUCCAGCCAUCCCGCGUGUGCGUGAAGGUAUGGGUUGUAAACACUUUUGG
rnacentral:misc_RNA from 1 species